UGUGCACAUCGGUUUUUGAUCACUAUCACGGAUGAUAUCAUAUUUAGUUGGCCCUGACUGUCAAAUUUUUUUUUUUUUUUUUUUUUUUUUUUUUUUAAAGAAACGGAAAUUUUAGAAAAACAAGUGCUCUAAAACGUUCCUUAAGUAUACAAAAGAGGGAACCUUUGUGUGUAAUUUUAAAAAUAGCUUAGUCCAUUUUUAAGUUUUUAAUCAAUUUUAAUCAGCUAUUUGUCAGAAGUCUCAUGCAAAUUUUUAGCUUUAUCGGUUACGGUUUUUGUUCAGCCAUUCUCCGUUCAUUUGUGGAUCCAGCAAGAUGGCAAUAUUGUUUUCUUCUAUUUAAACCAUUUGAAAUGAAUACGUUUUUUGAAUGUGCGCAUUUUCUAAUUUUCUUUUAAAUAUGAAACUCUUAAUGUGAGAAUCACACAAGCACAGUUUAUGAAAAAGAACUAUCUCUAGUUUGAAUUGUAUCGUAAGGUUUCAUAAAGGUGAAAAAUUAGAUCCCAAAAAAAACAAAAUUGCUGUUUAAAAUAUCUUAAAACUUCUUGGUCUCCAGUCUGGUCUCAAAGUGUAUUUUGUUCUUAAAUUUUACGUCUACUCUUGUCUCUAAUUUGAUUUUUAAAAUCAUAGGUUAUCACUGGGAUUGCUCUGACUGGGUACGGAGAAGUCAAACCGCGUUACCAAACAUCACCGAAGUGCCUGGGAGCGAAGUCCCUGACUCGUCAAGCUUUCACAGCAACGAAAGUAAUGAAUCAAAUUUAGACAAUACAUCCAUGCCCCUAAACGAACAAAACGACCCAAGUGUCCUCAGUAAACUGAAUUCUCGACAGUUCUCAGACUACCAAGAUUUUGGUGAUCCUGCCAGAGACUUGGCAAACCUGGAUGAAGAACUUUACAUGUCAUACCGCAGUGAGGAGGAUGACGUCAUACCUUACGGUUUCCCGGUGCAAAACUAUAUUAGUCAUAGUGACCUCUCGACCAAUGUCUGUGAUAUAGAAGAUUCUGACGUUCCGGCCUGACAAAACCCGAAACCCCUAGUCUUGGAGUGCCAGAUUUAAUACUUGAAUUUAUUGAUAUUUCCAAGAAAUGUUGACAAAGGAACUGCAUUUUAGAAUUUUAUGAAAUGAUCUAAACAGCUAAUUUCAUGAAAUUUUCUCUCUUUAACUGUAAGGUAAAAAAGAUAACUUCGCAAUGAUCUACUAAUGUAUUGUCAGAAUCUUCAAGUAUCUGACUGCAAUAUUUUAAGUAAUUAUGUACCACUGUGAAAUCUAUCUUUUGAUAUAUCAGUGCAAUUUAAAAUCAAAAAGAUUCGUUCAAUCUGCCGAAACUAUCAGAGCAUGAAAUGGAGCCCUACUAAAUAAAGCUCUGGGUAAAUAUAGCCCUGCCUGACGGAAUACAAAAGCCUUGCAAAUAAAAUUGCAUCUCUUCUUUAUGCAGGUAAUUUUUUUAACCUUGCAAUCCUGAUCUUUUUAUACUUUGCUUCAUUUGCAACUAUUUGGAAAAAUCAGAAAUUCUUGUAUUUGGCGUCCAACUCUAGGGUGGUCUUUCGCUAAAAGUGCCGAUCACCAUGAUCUCAUAAGUAAUUCUUCACAAGUAGGGACAGUUGAAGCGUUAUAUGUAAGAACAUCAAAUGUUUUAUUUCAAAGACUCUGUUUUCAGGUUGUUUUUACAUGUAUGGCUUCAAUUACCUUAAAUAUGUAUCCAUAUGAGCGUCAGUAAUUUCAAUUUUUUCUGUCUUAGAUUUAGAUUAAGUAUUAUAAAUUUCGAUUUCCUUUUUUCUAAUCGAUCAUUCUCAUGUCUAGACCAAUUCUUCGACAAAAUUCCAGGAGGUCUGAUUUUAGGUAGAGUCAAAAAAUUAUGACAAGUAACUUCAGAAACUAUAUUUUUUGUAUUGUUGUCAUUCAUCUCCUUCCGUUUUAUUUGACUUACGUAAUUUUACUUCAGUAAGUUUGAAUAGAAUUACAUUUAGGCCUAUUCUUGCAAAAAAUUAAUUUUAUUGUUUUCUUGUAAAUGUUCUGACUAAGUUCCUUCUGAAAUGAUUGAACCGCUCAGUUGUUUGAUCGGGCGGUUUCUCUCUGUAUUAUCACAAUGAUUUUGAGUUGCUAAUUGUAAACUAUCUGGUCAAUUUAAAGAAUGAGUGGUGCAGAUAUAAUUUCAGAAAAAUUAUUCAAAUUUUCAACUUGCUCAGAAACAGCAAGAAAUUUCAUCAUGUUGAGAUGAAUGAAUGUACCUAUAAUUAGAUGCUAUUUUUAUUUUUAAUCACUUGGAAACCCUUCUUUGUCUGUGUAGAUAGUAGCGUUUAACUAUUGUGCAAGACAUGAUCAACCCGAGUGACAAAUAUCGUAGCAAUGUAAUCUAAGCUGUCAUGUGUAACAACCAAAUAAUUGUCCUUCAAUUUGUUUUCCUUGCAAAUUUUUUCUUCUCAGAGACGUUAUGUUACUCUUUUGUAAAUAAAUUUUGGGCUCGUAAACAAUUUUUUACAAAAGUUCAAAGAGGGCUGAUUUUUUAAGAAUUUAAAAAGUAUAGAACACUUGCGAAAGUAAUUGGUAUUUUCUAAUUUGUAGAACUAAGUAUGAAAACCAAACUUGACAGAGAUUUUAAAUAAUUUUAAGCAAAUUAGAAUGUUGAAAGUUUUUCAGUAACUCUGCAUCACUGGAAUGGAGUUGCUUUAAUUUAGCCGUUUGGAAAACAGAUCAGAUUUAAUCCUUGUAUUAUUAAUUUCACAGUUUCUAUAAAAUACUCUUACGAAAUGAGAGGGUGACAAGUUUUUAAGUAGUUCAGAAAUCUCCCUGUCAAACUUCAUGUUUCCCUGCUAUCAGAGAAUUUUGUGUUCGUUUAUUUCCAACAACAUGAAGAAUUUUCAGAGAUACUUUUCAUGCAUUACUUUAUUAGUAAAUGAAGAUUUUUGAAAUUUUAUGCAUGAAAGCCCUGAAAAAUUUAGAAACAUUCAAAAGUAGAAACUUAGGAUAAAAAUACUCACAAUCAGUUUGCAUGUAAAAAGAAUGUAAAAAAAUUGUCACCCUGAGUUAGGUCUUGAAAACUAUCAAUCCCUUAAAAACACUGUCUCGUAAAGAAAAUUUUAUAUCUUAAAAAAUAGCAAAACAUUACGACUAUUGUUUAUUUAAACAGCUCUUUCCUCAAUACUUACGUAUUUUAUGUUAGAAGAGACAGUCUCAAUAAGAAAAGAAUUGAUAUGUGUCUAAUCUGGAAUAGCUGAAGUUCUAAUUUUUUCUAAGUAGUAGGUACCUGAAAUGAUAAGUCUCAAAAAUCGUAUUUUUUUAAACCCGACCAAAUUGCCUUAUAAAAAUUCAAACAAAUUCUAUUUUUUCUUCUUGUUGUAGUUUCGUCUAUUUUACCUUCUUCUCUAAUUAAUUUUCAUGCCCUCUGUGAUUAUGAUUUGAUUGUAGAUUGUGCAAAUUUUUAUAGAAGAAAUCAUCGCUCUUAUCUUGAGACUGAAGGGUUGUUUCUGUACUUUAGCAAAACUAAUGAUUUUUAUGGAGACUCUGUAUCACCGUUUUAUGAGUACAUAUUAGACAAAGCUUAUAAAGAUUUCCAAGACAGUACCCUUCUUUGCUGUCAGAAAUGUACCCUUUACCUCAAAGACAUAUUCCCUGUAGUUUAACGUAAUUUACUUUUGAAAGCCUUUCACUGUCAUUCCACUAGAGCUCUUAUUUGUUGAGUCUUUGUUCAUCUAUUUUUUUACCAUUUGUAAACGAUGUGUAAAUGCCAAGGAAAGUAGAAUUUAGGAGAAUAUUUGUGGUACGUUUUAAAAGACUGAUCUUCUCAAUUCUUGUAAAUAACUGGACAGCCAUAAUUAUUGCCAUUAUUUUUUUAUGUGUACCUAACCGAAUUGUAAUUUGUAAAUACGCUUUUUUGUACUAAAUUCAAAAGUAAUUAGUCUAUAGUUUAAUUUAUCUCAAACUUCAAGAAAAUUGAGACAGUGUUCUAACUUAUUUUUCUCUUGUUUAAAAGAGAAGUAUCAACUAAAAUCUGCUCGCACAUCGUAAGUUUUUCUGAAGUAUCUCGGUUCUGGAAUUCUUUUCUGAAAUGAUUUCUUAACCUCCUUUCAGUUUUUACAUUUCUAUUUGUAAUUGUGAAAACUUUAAUUUCAUCUCUCCAAAAUCCCUGUAAUAGUCUCUAAGUUUUAAGCAUCAAUCAACUAAUCUAAAUUACAAAUUUGUCUUCUGUUAUAUUUGGUAAUCAGUCAUUCACACUAAUUUCUUUCAAAAGACUUAUUCCCUUUUCAUUAUUUUCAAGAGCAAUAUCCUGUUCUUUUUACCUAUCAAAAAGAAAAUUUAUAAAUUGAAUUUUUUAUUGAAGAUUUUCUUGUUCCUCCGUUGACUGCCUCAAUUUCUUGUGUUGGGUGUCACUAUUUUUCUCAGAUGAUGAGUUGUAAAAAUUACUGUUUAAUUUUUUGUCCUGUAAAAAUAUUUUGUAAGAAAUCGUGUACGUAUUGUAUUAUAAUAUUUUCUCCUUUUUUUUGACUAAAGAAAUCCAAUUAUUAAUUUGGCAUUUUUCUUUAAACUUUUCAACCACCUUUUGAAUCAUAAUUAAAUAUAAAGUAUAAUGCCUGCUCAGUAUACACAUACUAGUAAAAAGUCCAUGACAGAAGUUACGAGUCUAGAUGCUUUGCCAUAAAUUAUAUUUUAAUAAAUGAUCACUUUACUAAUUGAGUAAUUUACUGGAAUUUAUGUGGGCAAUAAACUGGGAUUGUUUUCAUUAACAUGAUUUGAUCUAAAUUAAAAUCCAUCGCAGAGUGGUUUACAAAACGGCUUCAUUAAAUUUUUGAAGGAGUACGAGGCAACUCUACCAUACACCUAUUCGAAAUAUAAAUUUUUUCCUCUUAUGCCCUCUCUAUCUUACCUGAAUGCAUGAAAAUACAAAUCUAUUAUGUAUAAAUGCAUUACACCCUUUAAAUUUUAGAAGUAUCUCAAGCAAGAAAAGAAAAGAGAACAAUUUUUCAAAUGGUAGGCAAAGAUAUAAUCAAAUGUACCAUGUUUAGCAGAUAGGAACGAGGCCACAUUAGCUGUUGCCAAAUAUAACUGGGCAAUUUAAUUUUUUAACAUACUAAAGAUUGUCAGAUUUUGAUACAGAUUGCAGAGAAUUUUCUGCCGAGUACAAAGCAAAUACAUUAAAAUACUCUAUGAAAUUCGCACAAACUUUCUCUUGUAAAAAAUUAAACUG
rnacentral:lncRNA from 1 species